GAUGAACGCUGGCGGCGUGCCUAACACAUGCAAGUCGAACGGAAAGACGAGGAACUUGCGUCUUUGGCGUUAGCGGCGCGGGGGUGUGUAACAUGUGUAUAACACACCUAUAUGACUGGGAAAAACUCGUGAAAACGGUGCUUAUCACGGAUUAUCUUCUGAAGCGCAUGGUGCGUAAGUUACAGACGGCCUUUCGGUCAGUUUUCGCAGGUUCCGCGCUGCAUUAGCUGGUUGGUCAGGUAACGGCUUACCAAGGCAACGAGCCAUAGGCGAGCUGAGAGGCUGAUCGGCCACACGGGAACUGAGACACGGUCCAGACUCCUACGGGAGGCAGCAGUAGGGAAUCUUCCGCAAAGGGCGAAAGACUGACGGAGCAACGCCGCGUGAGUGAUGAAGGUCUUCGGAUCGUAAAGCUCUGUUAUGAGGGAAGAACAGAUUUGGAAUUAACCGUGCACUUCUUGACGGUACCUAAUCAGAAAGCCACGGCUAACUACGUG
rnacentral:rRNA from 1 species